GGGCAGGUAGCUCAGUCGGUACGAGCGUCCGCCUGAAAAGCGGAAGGUCGGCGGUUCGACCCCGCCCCUGCCCACC
rnacentral:tRNA from 10 species